CCAAAAUACUGUUACAUGUGCACACUGAAAAAAAAGAUGCUCUAAAGUUUCUAGCUCAUUGUUGCAAAAGGAGCAUUUUUCUUCUAUGUUUGGAAUGUAUUUACAAAUAAUAGAGUUUACUGGGUAAAAUUUAUGUAAGAUUUUAAAGAAAAGUUCUUUAGUUUUGUUGGACAAGACAAAUUUGUAGGGCAAAGUAAAAACAGUGUUCCAUGUUCUUCCACCAAGAGUCUGGUGUGGCCAUUUAUGUUUAACAGCUGUUGUUGUUCUUGGAAUGAGGGAGUUUCUUAUAAAGAUGUUGUUGAAUCUUUUAUCAAAGAUAGAAGUGCCAUUAACAGCAAUAUCUAAAUUGAUAGAGUUGUGCGUGUUUGAGCAGGAGCGUGCUAAACUGAGAAUGCCAGACGGAAGUGCAUUAAUAACAGUAUUAAACUCAUGCUGGGAAACAGGGAACCUGUACUUAGCUAUGAAGUUCUCAUAUGAUAACAGAACUCCAUCACAAUUAAACAGUUGUUUUACAAGUGCAAUGUUAUUUUUAAACCAGUUUUCAAAGAACAAGGAUUUGUUGUUGUAAGUGAUAAUGGCAUUAAGAAGAAGUGAGUUGGCUGCUUGCCAACCGCCAUUAGAUAACAGAAGAAGAAGAAGAAGAAGAAGACGAAGACGAAGAAGAAGAAGUGGUGGUAUGGCUGUUUGCCAACCUCCAUUAGAUAACAGAAGAAGAAGAAUUCCCGUGAUUAGUGAACUGACGUCAUCACGUUAUGUCGCCGAUGUGUAAUCAUGAAUGUAUUAUAGAUCCAAGUCAUGGACCAGCUGGGACAAAACUGCUAAAAUGCGAAAGCACGGCUGUGUAUUCAACUGCAUCAGAAAGAAUUUACAGCUACGCUUUUACAGGCAUCCAAGGCGAAAGCGAAGGCAUGAAAUCCAGGGUUUGCCGAUGUUGGUGUAAUCUUCAUUGACAUCACAUGCCACUACAACUCCAUCAGCAGGAACUCUGAUAGCACUGGAUAUUCACAUUUUUGAAGACUUUGAGGGUCAACGGAAGAUGGAAGGGAAAGUGAGUGGAAGGGACUUUGUAAUGACGGCACAGAAAGAAGGUUGUUGGUUUGAACCUCACUGCCGACCGGGCCUUUCUGUGUGGAGUUUAUACUAUUAGAGGAGAAAAAUUGGACUGACAUGACCAUGCAAACUUCAUGUGUAAAAAAACUACAUGUAAUUGUGUGGUUUUAUCCAUGUAAUGAUGCACAGGUGUAUAAUGCAUUCUUAUGUAUAAAAAGAGAAGGUGCUCAGGGCUCAGAUUUAGGUCACACCAGUGUUUCCAUAAACCCUAAUCUGUGACAUGCAUUCAAACAGUGGUGGAAGAAGUACCGGGAGCUUUAAGUUAAAGGACCAAUAAACCAAGCUGCAUUCAAAGUAAAAGUGCUGCAUUUAAAUUUGUAUUUAAGUAAAACUAUGCGCCAGCUCAGGAAGUUCGACCUGCCCCAGGAGCUGCUGAU